UGAAAUGCAUGUACUCCAGAUUCUUAUAACGAAUACAAGGUAGAUGCAUUGUAUUAACCCACAUAACUCAGAUUACGACUACAAGAUAAAUGUUCUCUUUCCAGUUAAAAGUGUUGAUCAGGACUGUAGGGUAGAAGCAAUAUGUUCGACCAUUUAAAUUGGGAACACGACUACAAUGUAUUGGUUCUCUGUCCACUCAUAACGUGUUUAUAAUAACAGUAUGGUAGAAGCAAUAAAUCCGCUUAUUUGAUUUGUCAUCACGACUUGAAAUAUACAGGUUCUUUCUCUACUCACAAAGUGUUGAUCAAGACUGUAUAAUAGAAGAAAUAUGGCCGCCCAUUUAAUUGUAAUCACGAUUUCAAGAUCGAUGUAAUAUGAAUUAUAAGUUUGAAGGAUUGAGGGUAGUAUUGGUACGGUUCGAUUAGUGAGACAUCAAACAUUUAUGGCUCACUCUACCAAUAUAGAUGAACUUUUUUUCUUAAAAUAUAAUAAUCGUAGAUAUAAGGCGGCUCAAGUUACUCUUUAGAACGUAAAGCGGCAAUCAUGGUAAUUUGAAUAACGGGUGUACAAGUUGAUCCGAUAAGACGGUGUCUUCCCGAUUGUCCCACUUUUUGAAAUUACAGGUAAAAAAGUAACGAAAUUUUGUGGGACAAUCGGGAAUAUGUUUAUGGGACAGUUGGGAACUUUAAAUGUGGGACAAUUGGGAAUUGUUUUGAGUUGUUAAUUUGUGUGUCAUUUGGUCUCUGGUGGAGAAUUGUCUCAUUGGCAAUCAUACCACAUCAUUUUUUUUUUAUUGAAGUCUGAUUCUUCUGUAUAUAGUUGGUUACGAGUCUUGUCGACAAAGACAAAAGGAAUAUUGGUAAAAUAAUCUUUAAUAGUGAUUAUUUAAAAGACAAAACUGGUCAAAAUCUAGACAACAGCUUCGUUAUCAAUAAAGAACGUUGUUGGUUCAGGUGAUUUUUUAACAGUCUAAUCAAUAGCGCAAAGAAUGUUGUUAACAUGUCCUCUGAAAUCCCUAGUAACAUUGCAAAGGCACUAGUAGAAACAUUUCUCCAUCAAUAAUUUCAUAUUUAGAUGCUGGAACAUAUUAAUUGACUGUUAGAUAUACUGUUCCCUGAUAGAGGGUAGAAUGUAAAUGAGUUUAUAAUUGCAUGCAUUAUUUAUUUAUUUAUUUAAAAACUUUACGAAAAAAAUGUUAUUAAAAUUAUGGUAUUGACAUUUGUUUUAUAAAUAUUAAAC
rnacentral:lncRNA from 1 species